rnacentral:rRNA from 1 species
UACGGAGGAUGCAAGCGUUACCCGGAAUGAUUGGGCGUAAAGGGUCCGCAGGUGGCAAUGUGUGUCUGCUGUCAAAGAAUGAGGCUUAACCUCAUCAAGGCAGUGGAAACUACAUAGCUAGAGUACGGUCGGGGUAGAAGGAAUUCCUGGUGUAGCGGUGAAAUGCGUAGAGAUCAGGAAGAACACCGGUGGCGAAAGCGUGCUGCUAGACCUGUACUGACACUGAGGGACGAAAGCUAGGGGAGCGAAUGGG